AUUGAACGCUGGCGGCAGGCCUAACACAUGCAAGUCGAACGAGUGGCGGACGGGUGAGUAAUGUGUGGGAAACUGCCCGAUGGAGGGGGAUAACUACUGGAAAAGGUAGCUAAUACCGCAUAUCAUCGGAUGUGCCCAGAGGGGAUUAGCUUGUAGGUGAGGUAACGCCGCACCUAGGGGACGAUCCCUAGCUGGUCUGAGAGGAUAACCAGCCACACUGGAACUGAGACACGGUCCAGACUCCUACGGGAGUCAGCAGUGGGGAGUAUUGCACAAUGGGCGCAAGCCUGAUGCAGCCAUGCCGCGUGUAGGAAGAAGGCCUUCGGUUUGUAAAGUACUUUCAGCGGGGAGACGUUACCCGCAGAAGAAGCACCGGCUAACUCCGUGCCAGCAGCCGCGGUAAUU
rnacentral:rRNA from 1 species